AGGUCUAUGUCUUAAGAAAAUUUUGGUAUAAAUUACAUCUCAAUUGAAGCUCUAUAACUCAACUUAUAACCAAAUUAACACGGACUGCUCUUUGGAUAUACUAUCCUGGCAGCCACUAACCAAUGACUCAUAAAGUAACAAUUUUUGCUACUAAGCUUAGACAAGCACUUACCUCAACUUAAUUUCAGAAAUUUGCUCCCAAUUGCAAGUACUUUUCACAAAAAAUCCUCAAGCCAAAUCAGUGUAUGGACCUUGAUCAGCCACACCAAAAUUCUACCUCACCAAUCUUGCACUCUUUCUUCACUUUCACUUUGUUUUCAUGCUUUGAUCAUCAUAUCCUUCAAUUCCCAUACAAAACAUUAUCUUAGAUAGUUGAGUUAGGGUUUGUAUGUGAGCUUACGUGAAAGAAAAUGGAGGAAUGAGAGAAAGAGAUGGCCGGCUAAAUGAAGGAAGGAAGAAGACCACAAAUUUAUUUUAUAUGCCCUUGAUUUUUAUCAUUUCUAACUAUGUGUCGCCUCACCGUUGGUCCUCUCUUUGACUUAUUUAAUUAGUGAUUAAUUAACUUAAUAUAUCAUACUUAAUGAUUCUAAUUAAACUCAAUUAUGUGCUAAGUUGGGAAAUUUUAAUCCCCCCCCCCCUUCCAAACUUCAUUAAUUUUGCAACAAAGUCCAUAGGUGUCUUUUGUAAAU
rnacentral:misc_RNA from 1 species